rnacentral:rRNA from 1 species
UAGGGAAUCUUCCGCAAUGGGCGAAAGCCUGACGGAGCAACGCCGCGUGAGUGAUGAAGGUCUUCGGAUCGUAAAACUCUGUUAUUAGGGAAGAACAAAUGUGUAAGUAACUAUGCACGUCUUGCCGGUACCUAAUCAGAAAGCCACGGCUAACUACGUGCCAGCAGCCGCGGUAAUACGUAGGUGGCAAGCGUUAUCCGGAAUUAUUGGGCGUAAAGCGCGCGUAGGCGGUUUUUUAAGUCUGAUGUGAAAGCCCACGGCUCAACCGUGGAGGGUCAUUGGAAACUGGAAAACUUGAGUGCAGAAGAGGAAAGUGGAAUUCCAUGUGUAGCGGUGAAAUGCGCAGAGAUAUGGAGGAACACCAGUGGCGAAGGCGACUUUCUGGUCUGUAACUGACGCUGAUGUGCGAAAGCGUGGGGAUCAAACAGG